AUUUACCAAGGAGCCUUGGUGGAGUGGGAAGAAGGAUGAUGCCUUCCUCAUCAGAGGAAGCCAAUCCCAGGGGCUCCAGCCCUGCAAGUAGAUGAGGGAUCAAGGAAUUGGAUUGUCUGGAUCCAGUUUUUACCAAAAUGAUGGGCCAGAGAAAGAAGGAACCUUGGACAGUCUGAUCUAGUUAUGUUUGUAUUCCAAGGAAAAAUGAUUAAUGACCCAUUGAAGAGCCUACAAUCAUAUCUCCUUUACUCUGACUCCUCAAAGCCUAUCUAUAAAAUUUUUAAAGGAUUCGAUUUCCUCUUCAUCUUCAGAACCUCCCAGGGUCAGUCCUUCAUUCUCUCCUCCCUGGACUUUUACAGCAAAACUGUCUGCGGUGACCCCGGUGAUCUUAACCGAAUACUGUGUCAUGGACCCACUCUUCCAGUAAUAGACAUGGCUGCCAGUUACUUUACUAACACAAAGAGGGUCACAUUAUUCCCCUUCUUCCUACCUUGUAUGAAUUUCUACUUUCUUAAGGAUGAAGGGCAAACUGAUCUUCCCAGACAGAUCUCAGCGUACCUCUCUGGUUAGCAAAGUUAACUGUACUUCUUUUCUGUUUCACUUGAUACUAUGUGUCUCUGUUAUAGCUCAUAUUGCACAAAUGUUUGUUUGCCAUUCUCAUUACUGAAUCCAGAGGGCCUAGUCUUACUCAAACUAACAAGGGGCCUGGAACUCAAAGUUUAUUCUGGGUGGAAAACCUUCCAUUGACAAACCACACUUGUAAAAAUGUGGUUUCUUCAAGAAGGAAAUUUAUGUGCACUAUUGAGACAAAUGCUUUGUAACUAUCAGUGGAAUUCCAGAAUUCAGAAUUAGUCAAUAUGUUAUGGUGGAGGGCAAUAGGAUUGUAGCAUAGAAGAGUUAGUAAUAGAUUGUAAUAGAUAGCUUCCGUUCUUUUUUUUUUUUUUUUUUUAAGAUUUAUUUAUUUGAGAGAGAGAGAGAAGCUCUCAUGGCCCUGAGAUCGUGACCUGAGCUGAAACCAAGAGUUGCUUAACUGACUAUACCACCCUGGUGCCUCUGGUCUUUCUUUUUUACACAUAUUAGGUAGGUGCUAUAUAAAAUUUUUGUAACUACUGAUAAUAUCAUCAGAUUAUUUUUCUGAAAAAAUGUAGUUUCUGCAAACGUGUGAACUUUUCCCCUUGAAAUCUGAAAUGUUGGAAUAAAACUGAGAAAGAAAAGUUUCA
rnacentral:lncRNA from 12 species